rnacentral:rRNA from 1 species
GGAUUAGGCAUGCAAGUCGCACGAGAAAGGGUCAUUCGGGAUCCGAGUAGAGUGGCGGAAGGGUGAGUAAUGCCUAGAUAACCUGCCCUCGUAUUGGGGAUAACAGCUGGAAACGGCUGCUAAUACCGAAUGAAGCCGGAAGGCCGCAUGUCCCUCCGGUGAAAGGUGGGGAUCUUUCGGGACCUGCCGGACGAGGAGGGGUCUAGGUCCUAUCAGCUAGUUGGUGGGGUAACGGCCCACCAAGGCGAUGACGGGUAGCCGACCUGAGAGGGUGACCGGCCACACUGGGACUGAGACACUGCCCAGACUCCUACGGGAGGCUGCAGUCGAGAAUCUUCGGCAAUGGGCGCAAGCCUGACCGAGCGACGCCGCGUGGAGGAUGAAGGCCUUCGGGUUGUAAACUCCUGUCACGGGUUAUGAAACCCACGGGUGCUAAUACCGCCCGUGGCUGACAAAGGCCCGAGAGGAAGUCAUGGCUAACUCUGUGCCAGCAGCCGCGGUAAUACAGAGAUGGCAAGCGUUGUUCGGAAUCACUGGGCAUAAAGGGCACGUAGGCGGCUUCGUAAGUCGGGUGUGAAAUCCCUCGGCUCAACCGAGGAACUGCGCCUGAUACUGCGGGGCUUGAGGGCAGGAGGGGAGAGUGGAACUCUUGGUGGAGCGGUGAAAUGCGUAGAUACUAAGAGGAACGCCGGUGGCGAAAGCGACUCUCUGGCCUGCUUCUGACGGUGAGGUGCGAAAGCUAGGGGAGCAAACAGGAUUAGAUACCCUGGUAGUCCUAGCUGUAAACGAUGGGCACUAAGUAGAGGGGUUUU